UACAGAGGGGGCGAGCGUUAUUCGGAAUUAUUGGGCGUAAAGGGCGCGUAGGCGGCCUUUCAAGUGACGGGUGAAAUCCCUCGGCUUAACCGAGGAACUGCCUGUCAGACUGGAAGGCUUGAGACCGGGAGAGGGAAGUGGAAUUCCCGGUGUAGUGGUGAAAUGCGUAGAUAUCGGGAGGAACACCAGUGGCGAAGGCGACUUCCUGGCCUGUUCUUGACGCUGAGGCGCGAAAGCUAGGGGAGCAAACGGG
rnacentral:rRNA from 1 species